CAUUUUACUUCUGUGAUUUGUCUGCUUCAGAGCUUCUCGGAUCUGUCUGAUUUCUCUUUGUUUCAGUUCAACCAGCUCGAUUCUGUCUUCCAGGUUUUGGAUGCAGGCUUUCAGUCUAAUUCGUUCAUUUAACACUUCGGCUGUUUUCACCAGUUUUUGAGGAUUAGAUUUUCCCAACAAGUCUGUCAAAUGAUCCAUGUUUGUCUGUUCGGUGUCUUAGGUUAGUGUCAUGGUCCGGGUGUGUGCCAGUGUGUCUCCCUCCGAGGCGGCGUCUCCACCCCUGGGAGGGGCCUCAGUGUUUUUGCUGAUCGCUUACAUCUGUGGGUAAUUAGCCGGGGACUCAUAAGGCCAGCGUACUCAAUCUCUCUUCGCCAGAUUCUCUGCUAAACAUCACUACACCUAACUGUCAACCCCUGGCGAAGAGCUUCUACUUGGAUGCUGGACCUUCUGGCAGUCCCUCAGGCUAUUACCAAAAUUUCCUACCUGCCUCUCUGCCUCCACACCAGGAGUUUUUUGGAUUUACACACCCGGACUACUCACCCCUCUAUGUCAUCUCCGACCUCCGUUGGCAAGUACGCAGUACGAAGGAGGAUUCUGAGCCAAACAACAUAUUCAUAAGCCUCCUUAUCUAUGUUUGAACCUCUGCAUUCUGUUACAGUGACCCCGACCUUUUCCUGGACCUUUUGUGACUUGCUUUCCAGUCCAAUCCCCGGAAUAGCUGUCCUCUCUGACCCGGACCAGAUCAUUAUUUAGUUUAACGUCUACGCUCACCUUUUGUUUAUGAAUAUUUUGUGUAAACAUUAAACAUUAUUCUUAAAAUAUACUUACGAGCUGUUCGGCGUCUUGCGUUUGAGUCCUGUCACUCGUCUGAAAACGGUCUCGGCCG